CCCGCUCCCUCCGCCGUCCGGAGGGCCACGAGGUCCCGCUCCGACCGCGUCCGGUGAGGGGCGGGGCUCCGGGAGACUAGCGCGUGCGUGGCCCCCGGCUCUUCCGUCCCCGCCGGCCCGGACAGCGGGCAGGGGCGGCGGGGCUGCGGAAGGUAGGGCGCCUGCGCACGCGCGUCGGGCGCCCAGCAGAAGUCCCAGGGUCCCGACACCGGCUGGACGAGGCUCUGCAGAAUUGACUUGUCAAUGCGUUUUGGAUGGAUGUGAACAGAAGCAAGGACAAGGAAUGCCUAGGCUUGCCACUUGAUGGAGGAGUCAAGGGUGAGCGAACAAAGGUCAGAGAUUUUUCAGAGCUCCCUGGAAUGAAGGCACCCCACCGCUUUGGAUGAUAACUCCUGCUCAGUCUGCCAAUCCCAGAGUCCAAAAAUCCUCCAAGAAGUUGCCCAGCCCCUAUGAGAUAUCUUGGUCACUUUGCCAAAUAUGAUCUGCUGUAUCACAGGAGCCCCCAAAACAACAGCAACAACAACGCAUCAGAAUCCUAAAGGCGAAUGGACACCAAGCAGCAAAAACAACCCACAUCCCUGACGCUCCGGGCACAAACGAUUGAUGUUGGAACUUGCUCACUAAAAGAAUGGCUGUCCAGGAAGUAGACAGAGUUCAGGCUUCAGAGUCAGGCUGUGUUAUUGGGGGUCAGAUCCAGUGGCAAACAGAAUCACCUCCACGACUUUCAGGGCCCAGUGCACGAUGAAAACACAGAGCCCUUUGUUCAAAUAUUAAUCAGAAUUUCAAGAUGGCGACAGCAGAUGGUAAACCAGGUACAGGGCCCUUCCAGGUGGGGAACCCUGGGCCACCACGCAAGAAGCACACCCAUGAGGUUGAUUCUGGCCGCAGAUAACAGUCAACAAAUACCAGAGACGCAAGCAAGAUAGACGUUUCUGUCUCACGUGUAAGUCCAAAGGCAAACGCUCCAGGGUUACUUGGCAAAACUGUCAGGGACCCAGGCUUUUUCCAGCUCACCCGUGUGGCCCCAUCCUGAUGGUCCAAGCUGUCCCGUCUGUGUUCAAGGAACUGAGGAAUGGCCAGGGUGUCGGCGUGCAGGAAGGAGAUGGGGCAAGGAGCCCUGUGCAGGCUCCAGGGAAGGAUCCACCUCACUCCUUCCAACUUUUUGUGUUUUUCCACCAUCUUGGGUACUUCUGGGCCUGUAGACUUCUUGUAUCUUAUCCCUGUAUCUUAACAUCAGCUUCCCUUGGUGCCCAAAUUUCCCUUCCUGUAAGGACACCAAUCAUAUUGGAUUGGGGGUCACCCCAAUGGCCUCAUCUUAAGCUGGUUAAAUCUGCAAAGAUCCUAUUUCUAAAUAAGGUCACAUUCUGAGGUCCUCGGGGUUAGGACUGAAACAUAGUUUGGAGACACAAUAUAACCCAUAAGAAGAAGAGAUGGUAAAGAUCUGAUGUGAGGGGGUGUUUAACGAUUGUAGAGUUGAGGACGGUUUCCUCCAUUGACACGGAAAAGCCCAGAAUGGGCAAAUCCCUAGAGACAGAAAUCAGA